AUUGAACGCUGGCGGCAUGCCUUACACAUGCAAGUCGAACGGCAGCACGGGAGCAAUCCUGGUGGCGAGUGGCGAACGGGUGAGUAAUAUAUCGGAACGUGCCCAGUCGUGGGGGAUAACGUAGCGAAAGCUACGCUAAUACCGCAUACGAUCUAUGGAUGAAAGCGGGGGAUCGCAAGACCUCGCGCGAUUGGAGCGGCCGAUAUCAGAUUAGGUAGUUGGUGAGGUAAAGGCUCACCAAGCCGACGAUCUGUAGCUGGUCUGAGAGGACGACCAGCCACACUGGGACUGAGACACGGCCCAGACUCCUACGGGAGGCAGCAGUGGGGAAUAUUGGACAAUGGGCGAAAGCCUGAUCCAGCAAUGCCGCGUGAGUGAUGAAGGCC
rnacentral:rRNA from 1 species